rnacentral:rRNA from 1 species
AUUGAACGCUGGCGGCAGGCCUAACACAUGCAAGUCGAACGAGUGGCGGACGGGUGUGUAAUGUCUGGGAAACUGCCUGAUGGAGGGGGAUAACUACUGGAAACGGUGGCUAAUACCGCACAACAUCGGAUGUGCCCAAAUUGGAUUAGCGAGUAGGUGGGGUAACGGCUCACCUAGGCGACGAUCCCUAGCUGGUCUGAGAGGAUGACCAGCCACACUGGAACUGAGACACGGUACAGACUCCUACGGGAGGCAGCAGUGGGGAAUAUUGCACAAUGGGCGAAAGCCUGAUGCAGCCAUGCCGCGUGUAUGAAGAAGGCCUUCGGGUUGUAAAGUACUUUCAGCGAGGAGGCGUUACCCGCAGAAGAAGCACCGGCUAACUCCGUGCCAGCAGCCGCGGUAAUUC